UGAGAUUCAAACUUGUAACCGCUUGGUCAUCAAGACUCUGAUACUAUGUUAAAGAACUAUUUCAAUCUAAAAACUUAAACUAUUAGGUGAGGUGCCAAAAUAUUAUUUAUAUUAUUUUUUAACAAUUCAUGAGAGUAAAUCGAACUUUACAAGACAAGAUGCGACUAGAUGAAACCGAACAAGGCGAAUGUCUCAUAGUAGGUGUGGGAUAAAAAAUAGUCUAUGGAUCCAUGUGCUCGCUCACCAAACACUAAGGUAAGUGAAAUCUACCUCAACAUGUACAUUCUCAUAAGUUAAAGAACAAGGUAUUUGACAUGAUCAUGUGUGUUCCAUAGCUUCACUUGAAACUUUGGCAGUUAUUUUACUUAUUCCUGUUUUUGCAUUCAGUAUAAUUAAGACUAUUAUCUCCCUCAAUACACAGGCUCCACAGUUGUGUGAGGCAUGUCACUAAUGCUUUGACAUUUCCAAUGUAACUGUAAUUCCUCCUUGGGGUGGCCAGGAUGACAAUCAUGAAGGACAGCUAAUGUUUGGCAAUUUAAAUUAUGGAAGCACAAUAUGGUCCAAGCCAAUAAUGUCGAGCUACAAUAAUCAACCAUGAGCUAUAAUUAUUCCUUCCUGUGUUCUUUGAUUGAAGCCUUGUUCCUUUGUGAUGAACCCUAGCUAGCUAGCAUUUUCAUAACCUAUUCACAUAACUUAUGUUUUAAGCUUUAUAUAAAGUCCAUUAAUUCUGUAAGGACACAAUUUUUAUGCUAGCAACGAAAGAUAAACAGGUACAAACACACAAAGUAAUAGAGGGCGAUUGAAGGACAAAAACCAAGCUGAGCCUGGGAGAUGUCUACAAUAUUAUUAAAUAAAAUAUCGUAAAACUAGAUGGGAUAGGAAACAAAAACAAAGAUUAAUGUUCUGAAAUGAUUAAUGGUCAUUCUUACAGUGUUUAAGCAUACAAAAUCACUGAAGAAGAGGAAGAGAAAAUUAGUUUGGUCGCCCAAAAGACACAACAACUUGAAGAAAUGAUACCUUGGAAUCUCAUCCGGAGUUAAGAUGCCACAUAUGUUUUAUUAUUUUUUACUUUCUUCCAUUUUCUUAGAAACCAAACAUAGAAAAAAAGGAAAAAAAAGGAAAAAAAAGAAAAGCAAAAAAGGGGAAGGUAAUUCAAAGCCAAGAAUUAGACUUGCCUAGAGGCGUCAUUGCCUCUUAUCACCAUCUUUCUUUUGAAUCUUUAGGCCACGGAUCUAAGGCUGUUUCAUUAUGCCCAGAAAGGAAUCCUUCAAACAGUCUUCUCUCCCAAAGUGCCAUGAUGAUCUCCUCCUUCGACUCGACCUGCAAUGGAAACCCUAAUCGGAAAAGAAAAUCUGAUCAAGAAAAAGAAGGAAGGAAGGAGGAAAAGAAGAUGCCAACAUUUUCAUGUUCUUGGUUAUUUAUACACGCCAUGAGUACUGAGGCUAAGAGGUUUCUUGGGUCUUGGGUUUUAGACGGAUGACAGGAACUAAAAUAGAAGAAAAUAAAUUAAUGUAAGCCACGUACAAGUGAGGGUCUACUUUGAUAUAAUAUAUACAAUGAAGGAAAUAUAUCUCAUUAAUUUAAUGAACCUAUGGUGGGAAUAUAAGGUGAACCAUCUAAAUGUAAGGUCCAUUAAGAAAAUAAAAAUAAUUAGCCAUCAUUAAUAAAGAAAGGAAAAAUUACAAGUG
rnacentral:lncRNA from 1 species